ensembl:lncRNA
CCCACUCCACAACCAGCGCCCCCUCCCCGAAACAGCUGCUCUCCAUUCGUCCUGAUUAUGCUGGGGAAGCAGAAGAGAAGCGAGCAUGUUACAGAAAAGCACAGGCCGCACUUUCUUUACUGUGCUGCAUGCUGCUUAGCUCCGGCUGGCUAACUAGCCACAGCAGGCCUGCAUUCCAGCCGUCUGCAGUCAGCGUGUAAACUGUGUCCCAUACUUUGGAAUUUGUAGCCAAUGUGAGUCACUUUGCAUGUUUCCAUUUAACUUCCGGCGGACUAACUUCUAUCUAUCAAUCCGACUCGAGGUGAGACGCCUCUAGAUCUCACUGACAGAGACUUUACAGAAAACAAGAGACUAGAUUUUCAAUUCACAUAGAUUUAGUUGAGCCACACUGGGUGUAAACAAAGUGUGUUGUUCCCGGAUUCAUCUGCACUCUGUGGCAAAAAAAACACAACAUUUCUACCAACGUUGGCAUCACUUUGGAGCACCUCCCCUCCCAUUUGGUGCAUCAUGAGCAAAAAUAAGUGCCUUGACGUUCGGACUAAUUUCCCUGGUCAAGAGACCUCAAUCAAAUCCUGUGUCAGGACCUGUGGAAGAAUAUACUUCUGAGUAUCGAUCAUUUUUAUAUAGAACUGAUUGCAGAAAAAUACGCGUCAGAACACACAAACAUCUUAAUUCCAAAACUGGCAAAGGAGAUGCUCAUUUUCUUAUGGAAGUCAUAUUGGUUAGUUUCAACUUCUUAGUUUCACGUGUGCAUGUCUCUGUAUGUCUUGGCUGUACGGUGAAUAUCUUGAAUAUCAGCUCUGCUCUGGGAAAUUUUGAUCUGUCUUAAUUCUGUGACAUUAUAAACGACAUUAGCAAUACGUUGAUUCAUUGAGAAAAUAAACUACAAAGAAAUCAAGUUGUCUGUCAGAGCUGCUGGCUAUAAAUGUUUGUUGUUGUUUUUCUCUCGUAGCCUUGACAACAAGCCAUGGGGCCGUCAUGGUCCCCAAUCAUCUGAUAUUGUUUUAGCACUCAAGAUGUCCUGUCUGAUUGAACUGCGUACACACACACACACAAACACACAAGGUUGACAUUGUGCUGAGGGGGGUUUACGGGAUAUUGGUGGGUCAGGGCGACAGUGUCUGGUUCUCUGGGAAAUAUCGAAUACACACCCUAAACCAGGGAGAUGGAGAGAGAGAAAUACCAGACCUGGAGGAACAGAUCCUUGUAUUCACUCGGGACGCGUUACCUGUUCUGCUGUUUUUAUUCCAAACUUCUUCGGUGGAGGUCGGUGGCUGUUUCAGGUCAUUUUCACUGACUCCGUCGUAAGCUGUUUGCAUUUACUAGCCAAGAGAUAUUUACUGUCAAACACAGCUGCUCGGUUAAGUAAAGAUUGUGGGGUGUAAUGGAAAGCAGCACGAAGGGCAGGGUGUACAUUUUUAUUACUGCAUAUUCUGCAAGUACAAUACUUUCCUUAUUUAUUCAUUCUUUUAUGUAUUUUACAUUGUAUUGUCGAUAGCUAGUCAAAUAUAUCCGUCAGUUCAUCAUACGCAGUUCACUCUCUGUAGAAAUAAUAAAGGUAUAGCUUCAGGUUUUGAAGAAAUACUGCCCAAUAAGUCCUUCAGCAUGUGAUGCCUUUGUUUCCUUUUUUCUAAUUCAGUUUCUGCACACAACAGAUAACACAGCCUGGUUCUGCUCCAUUGUCUUUUAUUUUCUUCGACAAAGGGAGUUGCCCUUCAACCAGAUGUACCCAAUCAAACCCUGAAGACCACAAGGGCAUUAAAGCUCAGCGGUUGCCAUUCUGUGGCUGACCCUGACAUGCGACUUCUUGGGGCUGUGGAUCUAAAAUCAAGGCUGGAGAUUUAUGUUUUGUUUGUUUGUCCACAGACAAAAGAAAAAGUUUCAUGGGGGUUGCAGGAAACCAGCUGGGACUCCAGGAAGUUCUCCAGACUGAGCCAGGCUAGUUCUUUACCCAGAUUCUAGUUUUUCUGCUAAGCCAAGCUAACGUACGCAUUGGUAUGGCCUGUUUACCAGAUGUGUAGCUAUCGUCCCAGAUUGCUGUCGCUAAUGAGCGUAUUUUCCACAAAUUUGUAUGUAGUCCUUCAAAAUGAUCACAUUAUUACUUUUACCCACACUAAGAUCUGGCCCCAAACCUGGACAACAGUGAGUCUGCCGUGCAACCACUUCCUGAGAACACGAAGCUCACGGAUGAGACAUAUCGGCACGAUCAGCCCACAUUUGCCACUUGGCAGGUGAAAGCAGGUGGGAGAGCCGUGGGUGUCGUUCACUCGAGAGGUGAGAUGAAAAGCCCGGGACGAAGCCAUUCUCCAGCCUCCCUCUGUUCCGAUUUCUGCUCCUGCGUUGGUGUGACUCCGCUCUCAUCUCCAAGGGCAAUCAAAAAGGGAAACGGCAGCCGGUUGUCAGGGCAACGGAGGAGCCCCCUCACACACACACACACACACACACACACACACACACACACACACACACACACACACACACACACAAAUACAUGAUGCAGGUGAUGCGUUUUGCUGAUACGUGUGCCGUGAAUUUGUCACUGCAGUCUGUUUGUGGCGCUAGUCAGAGCUCGUCGGCUCACGACUUUUACAAGCUGUGUUUAUACAAUGCUGCCUCUUCCGUACGUUGCCCCCAAACCACAAACUGUUGUGUUUUUUUUUUUUCCUUUAUCUCUUUCUCAUGCGUCAUUCAUGUGUCACUCUGGCCCCCGAGGGCCCUGAGAUGUGAUGGCUGUAGGUGUACCCGCACUCGCAUGCAAAUGUGGGAAAAUAACGACCAUGCAAAAUAAAGAAUAAAGAUUCAAAACAAAUGCCUAAUUAGUAGCUGGGGAUUGAAAUGGAGCCAACAACACCACAGCCAAUGUGAAAAACAUUGUUCAAGAGAAACAGUGUGCGAUGCAUUGUUGGGUUUGGAGGAUGCGUUAAUGUUCACUUUGUGGGAGAAAGCACACAUUGCGGAUUAAACGAUCAAAGGAUUGGGCCGGAGCCUAAAAUAAAUUAAGGAUUCAUUUAGUAGUUCUACAAAGAGUGAAUGAAGCAGGUACAGGCAGGCAAAUAUGGAGAAACAAAAGGCUGGAACAAAGCCUCAACCUAUUUGCUUAUAGGGAAAGCAAUUUGUUCUUUCUCACACCUUGUAAGCUUUUUUCUGAAAUAUAUUAAGAGAGGAAAUUCGACUCCUGAAUUGGGUCAUAUACCACCAAGGUAAACAACAGACAAAACAAUUUGACAACCAAAAUCAAAAUGGAUAAGGCUGUACAUAAUCAUGCGGCCAUAUUGCUGAACGCCCUCCGAGGUCCCAAUGAACUCUGCCGUGGUCUCUGCCAUGUCGGAUUCGGUCACUCUGCUUCUGUUUCUGCACAGAACAAUCUUGAUCAAGAUACACACCCCUCAAAAGGGCCCGACCGACUCCUUAUCUCACAGAAAGGAAGUGAGGAGGGAACCAUCAACGCUGACACAAAGGGUGGGCCGCUUGUGAUGUGAGCCGGCCAUGUUUUGGUUUUUGCAGUUUCCCACUAUGGAAACUAGAAUUUGACUUAUUGACUCUAUUGUAUUCCUUUAUCUGUACACUGAACAUUACGACGUUGCAAUGUGCAAGGACCUGACAAUGAAUGCCUUAAACACUUGAUCAGGCUCAACAGUUUUCUGCUCGAAUGUUUGUCUGAAAUGUGCAGAACCUUUUACGUAACAUGAAAGCAGACCUGCCAGGAGACAGCUUAGCCGAUUGCUCAUUAGUCUUGCACAUAACAGUCUCAUCUAAGUAACAGCAAGAAGUGGCUCCCAAAAUUUAAAAUUUGUUAUUUAAAUAACAAAAGUUUCAGGUUUAACACUUACUUACUGUGUUUUUUAAACUGUGAAAAUGUUCAGACAGUUCCCCCUAGAUCAUACCGUUGGUGCUAUUGCUAAGUAGAUGCAGUACAUGAUAAAUAGCACCAUGGGUGAGACUCAUCAUUUUCCAUCCAGUUGAACACAUUUAGCUCUGCAAGAACUGUUUGUGUUGUUCGCGCUGGCCAUGCCGUCAGCACCGCCAGCUGCGAGUCACCGGCUCCGCAGUCUCCAUGUCCGGGGCUGUGAGGAGGAAACUAAGCAUACUAACGAAUGACUAGUGAAAGAAAUGUAACUAAAAGAAUAUUUUUUUGUAUAAACAUGGGUAGGUAGGUGAGUAGUGCCCCUGUGUUGCACUCCUCGCCCCUUCAGCAGGGGUGGUUCAGCAGGACAGCCCUGGGUGAUAGAGAUCAGAUUGCGACGACAGAAUGAAGAGCAGCCAGGCAAACACACACGCACACACACACGCACGCACACAUGCACAAAGUAAUGAGGAGGAAAUUAAAAAGGCAUUCUGUAAAAAGAAAAGAAAAAAAAUCAGCAUUCUUGUUUGUAGUGAGUGAAAACAGAAGGGUUGAAGUUCUUUGUUCCGUCAAACAAACACGUCAACUUCCCAGAACUUUCUGGUGAACCUGCAACAAAUGUCUUUCUGAUUAUCUUUGGUGCAUCGUUUACAGAUUGAGAUGUUUUCGUUAAAGCGGCGAUGGCUCAGAUGUAGAGCGGAUCCUUCUCUGAUCGGAAGAUUGGCGUCCAAUUCCCGGCCAUUCCACUCCGCAUGUUGGUCUCCUUUGGCUGAACCCAGAAAUGCUCCCUAAGGCUUUGCCACCUGUGUGUAGGUGUGUGUAUGUGCAUUCAUUUAGACCAAGCAUGGCCCUGCAUUCAGAGUAUGAUUACGUGUGUGAAUGGGUGAAUUAAACAUACAGCGCAUUGAUUGAUCAGACAAAUAGAUGAUGACAGUAUUAAAUAUCAAUGCAAGUCCAUUUAUCAUAUCUCUUGGGGUAGUUCUGUAGUUACUGUAGCGUGAACAUGUCUGGUGUACCCCAAGGUUCAGACUGGGGCUUCCUUUUGUUUUCAUCCACAAGCGUAGUUUCCACUGCUAUGCAGUUAACAUACAAUUCAACAUCUCUCUUUUGAAAAUCUGAGCCCUUUGGACAAAAUCUCGUUAUUUUUUGGCUUAGUAUCUUGGGGUACAUUUUGUCCAAUUAGGAACAACAACACUGCAGCCUGAUUCCAGACAAAGCUAAACUGAGUGGAGACACAAGGAUAAGCCGACCAUAAUCACGCAGACCGCUAGACGAAUCAUGCAAAAAUGAAGAAGCCUUAAGAACGGAUAAAUGUGAGGCCCAAAUGAAACUUCGCACUAAACACAUCAGAAAGGCAAAGAAUGUCAGAUAUAUACAGAAAACAGGUUAUUUCUUCAUUUGUGUUGACAACUGAUCUUCCAAAUCUGCUGCAAGCUGUGAGACUGAGAUGCUGCAAGUUCUUGAAAGUAAUGGGCUCGAGACAACAUUUCACAAUGUUUAUGGUGACAGUGCCUGUUAAUAAUGAUCCGAGGACUACAAGAGAAACAUUUCCGCUCUUUCCUUCAGUUAAACGUGUUGGGGGUCUUGAUUCUGAGGAUAUUGUGCACCGGUUGCUUAUCAAAUCCAAGAAAGUGGAGCGGGAACCUUCGACCCUGCUGACGGACUAGAAACAUGCCGCUCAGAUUGGAAUUUACAAGCAGGGGAUAAGCAUACUGUGUAUUUUCCAUACUUGACUCCGCCUAUCUUUCCGUGUGUGUGUGUGUGUGUGUGGGUGUGAGAGACCUGUGAGAGCCUCAAUCCACGAGGUCAUUGUCUCUGGGUCCUGACGGCUCCGACUCAGGUUCUCAUUGUGGCCUCACCUCACUCACAGUCACACAAGUUGUCCCUCUCUUUCUUUAUUUCCUCAUGGUCACCUCAGGAUGGCUUGCACUGCGCGCGCGCGCGUGUGUGUGUGUGUGUGUGUGUGUGUGUGUGUGUGUGUGUGUGUGUGUGUGUGUGUGUGUGUGUGUGUGUGUGUGUGUGUGUGUGUGUGUGUGUGUGUGUGUGUGUGUGUGUGUGUGUGUGUGUGUGCGUGCGUGCGUGCGUGCGUGCGUGCGUGCGUGCGUGCGUGUGUGUGUGUGUGCGUGCCUGACACCGGGUUAGCUAUGCACUGGGGCUACUACACCGCCUACACACAGCUCAAAGGACGCCCUUCAUAACUUCAGGGAGAAAGAAAAACAGCCUCACAUACCUUAGUGACUUGCCAUUUAGCACAAAGGGUUUCCACUGCCAGAGUCAUCACACUCAUCACCCCGUCCCGCCACUGUGACGCAUAUCUUCCGCGUGCUUAAUCAGCCGCCACGCCUCGGCGUGUGUGAUGAUGCAGGAGAUGUGUGGGGAUCCUAAAUCCAGACUACUCCAUAGGUUCAUGGGGCUACAAUUUAGUGGGAAGCCCCCGCUAUGAAAGACGCUAUGUUUUCCUUUGUCUAAGAUGUAGAUAUUUUUUAAUGGUUGGCAAUGAGCUUAAGCCGUGUUUCUUGUAGGUUGAACUCAUCCAAAUCGAGGGCCGAGAUGUGGAAAUGCAACAACAUCGAGAUAAAACAAGGCUAGAAAAAGUAGCACGUAUUUUUACACGGGUGUAAAACAAAGCCCCAGAACUGAAUUUGGAAGAGAAAACAAAAAAUGUAUUAUUAACUUAACCUUAAACAUCCAUCAUGUUUUACCUCCAAGGAAAUUGCUUCAGAUAUUUGGACUAGAUUUUGUGCGUUACUGAUCAUCUAGCUGCUCCAGUUUCUAUAUCUCAACAAAUGGGUUUGAACAACGUUAUCAUUCCCAAAAAGAAAAAUGUCCAGUCCAAUGAGAACGAGACCCACGCUGACGUGAACAUGAACCAUCAUAAACUCACAAUUUGGCAGAUGAAGACGUUUUAUUUGUUAUUGUCCUGUGUUCCUCUUCUUCCCUUUUCUCCACUGUGUAGCACUUAUUAUAUUAUUACACAUUAUCCUAUUGUUUCUGCAUAAUAGUAAGAGAUUAUCAUCAUAAUAAAAAAUAAUGACCAUGGGUUCAUUUGAUGCUCAACAGCUGAGGCUGCAAUUUCCAUCCUUAUUGUUUUCACAAAACACUCUUAAACCACUCCCUCUGCCCAAGCGUGACUCGUUGUUGUUGUUGUUAUGUAAACACAUGUUUAUCUUUGGUAUCACCAGAGCUCACAGAUUCAUUGUACAAUAAAUAUAUUCAUUUUGGUUGGCACUCAUUUAAAUUGUAGUGAAAUGUGUUAAAGUGAACUCUAUUCAACCCUUAUUCAUUCAUCCAGAGGGCAGGUUGGCCUAACAGGACAAACCUGUUCCUUUUCAAAGAAUAUGUGUGGGGCAUUCGACAUGUAUGUCAGCGUGAGCGUGAACCCCCGCUGAGCUCAUUAAACUGUUAAUAUCGCUGUCUUCCUCAUCACAAAACCUGGAAUCUCACGUGAUGUUCCAUGCUCAAAGGCAGGAAUACACAACCCUGCACAAACACUUCACGCACACGCACAAAGCCUCACAAAGCUUUCCUGACUAAGUACGUGCCUGACUGCUUGCACACACACACACACACACACGGCUGCAGCACAGCGCUCUUAUUUAAACUGAUGUGAGUGCUGUCACGACAUCCGACUAGUCCUAUUUGUUCCACAGAAGCCUUUGCGUGAGAGAGCAGGGUCACCCCACUGGCUCUCAUGCAAAUGCAUUCAGCACGCACAAGCACACUCACAGACACACACACACACACACACACACACACGCACAAACGUAAUAGUUCUGCAGAUAAGACAGAGAGACGGACAGGCAUGCAAGCGGAGAGCCAUGUAGAGAUUGAAGCAGAGACAGACGAGUGGACAGGAAAGACAGAGAGACAAAGAAUAUAAUGUUAAUAUUGGGGCAAAAAGGUGUCCAUGCUUGUUUGUAUUUCUUUCACAAAUGUGUUGGGCGCAGCUAAGCACAGAAUGUAGCGGCCUCGCCCUUGUAGAGUAGAUAAGAGAAUGGGGAGGAGAAUGCCAAAUGAAAUAAGUGGGAAAUAGCAGAAUAAUACUCAGAGUCUAAUUCUGGUUUGUUAGUGGUCCAAAAUGGCAGCAAGAGAUAACUGAUAGCUAACUAAUAACUAAUAGAAACACUUUGGUGAAGGUGGAGGUAAAGAGAGGUUAAGCCACUGAUGGUGUGUAACGGUCAGGGUUCAAAUGGGGAGAUUAGUGGAAAAGAUUUAUUCCAUUUAGUAAUACAGAGGGAUCCAUUUCCCUUGCUUAACACACCGCCUCCUGGCUCAAGAGAUAAGUUAUGUGCCCCUUAUUACUUAUGUUAUGCAACAACGUUGUUGCAUCAGAAUCCUCCUUUCAAUGUAUUAGACAUCCACACAAGUUGGUGACAAAUUCUGUGAGAAUGAAAACAUCGGUGGUCUGCGUGUAGUGGUGCUCAUGUCACAGUUAUAUCAUACUGCAGAAAAAUGUGAGCGCUUUUAACUCCACAGUGCGUGUGCCUCUCUUCUCCGUUUGCCCCGUCAGUCACAGUUGUGUCUGUGGAGUUUCAGGUGCUGCAUCUUGUCGGGGUUUUGGUUGAGUUAAACCUGCAUGGUUAGCCAUCGGAUUUCUCUCACACAGCCCAGCACCAAAUAUGUCAAGCGUGACAAAAUUAGGCAUUUCAUGCCCCAAAAAAAAGAAUAGUGGGUCACAUUCACCCUUCCUCUCCCUCUUAAAUCUAUGUGUGCAGACACACACACACACGCACGCGAACGCCUGUGGCUCCUCCCCCUUCUCCCCUCCCCUCUCACUCUCUCUCUCUCUCCUACACACACACGCACACGCAUGCGAGCACACACUCAGCAUGCUUCAUUGUGCACUUGGCCACACAGCAUAGCGUGCCGGAAACAGACUCCGUAGAUGCCGAGUUCCUCGUCCCCACAGGCUCAGUGCCCCUAAAACACUGGAUGCACCUUCCAGAAUUAGGUUAAUUCGCUUCUGCCACAGAGAAUGCCCAAAAUACAGUCUAGUGGUCCCACAAACAAUUAUGACAGAGAUUUAAUUAGAUAAUUACGGGUGGGAGUUGGAUUUCAGCUCUCAUCAAUUAUUAAACCUGGCAGAAUAAUAAACGGACCAACUAAAGAAAAGACACAAUAACCAAGAAGAAAGCAACAAACUGUAAAUGCAAUCAGAUUAUUCUGAAAGUAGGUUAGACGUUUCAAAAAACACUUAAUUUAGUGAUUUAUUUCACAAUCAGAGCUCUGACAAACUUAAAUACUAUACAUCACAACAUGAUUCUAUUGUCCAUUGUGCGUCCAGCUCAGUAAUGCUUUGUAUACCAAGUGGCAUUACAGUAAAUGCCUGCCUGCUGCCCUUUUUCCUAUGCCCUUAUCGCAGGGGUAUUUGAGGAUAUGACCUGUUUCAGAGAGGGGAGUGAGACAGAAAGAGGAGGGGGAGGGCGGCGGGGGGGGGAGACAGAGAGAGGGCUUGUCUUCCCACUACCCUCUUCUCGGCACAGUGGAGUGCAAGGCUUGAUUACUGUCUCUGCCUGAAUUUAUUUGUUCCCCUUUUGUCACGUUCCAAUUUCUUUCUGCUGUGGAGGCAGAUAAAACAAGCACGGAAGGUAGGCUAGACUCCAAUUUGCAUCAGAGCAACUGAGUCUGCACGAUUCUAUGACGGCUCCAGAAAUAGCACUAACAUGCAUCACAAAUUGAAUCAUAGCAGAGAGUUCUCUCUCUCUCGCGCUCUCUGUGUUGGUGGGUGGGUGACAUUAACCCAGAUUAAGAGACAGGUUUGCGUCGGUCAGUCACAGAGAAAUAAGGACAAUCAUGUCAUUGAAAAUGGCAAAAAAAAAGGUCCAUCUGAAGACAUUUUCUAACCAACCCAGCUGGCCCCUCUGGGAAUGUCUGGCCGUUGUUUCAAAUUACUUCAGAGAGAAUGAAUUAAUUGCACACAACCCAAACAGAGCACGCAGUGUGACCUAUGCAUGCAAGCAGGGAGAGCUCAGCUCAUGUGACUUCAAGCCGUUGUCGGCCUGCAUUUCCGACACCAUUGCUUUCUCAUUCACUAACAAACCAAAAUCAUGAUUUGUACUUUAAAGGCAAACUAUUUUUUUUAAUCUCGAAUUGCAUUCAAGCCAGGUUUGUUGCUUUUUGCAGUCAUGGGAAGGCUCUGACAUUUUAGAAACUUGACUUGUAAACCAUCUGCAUGGAGUUACACCAUGAACACACUAAGUUGUAUGCGAUGGUAAAUAGCAGUUUUUUCUUCUUGUAUCUCACUGAAAUGACUUCCCACAUCUUGUCUGUCAACUGUGUUGCCGCUCGCCUGUUCAUGUCAAUCUGGGCCCUUCCCGCCGUGCUCUGCUGCCAGAGCGUAACAUUGAAGUGCUGCGCAUUACCAACUGAUGACGCCGUCCCCUGAGACCACUGUGGUAGAGACAGUUGUGGCGAGGCGUAAACAUAAGAUGUUUCCUCACCAAUGGUUGAUAAAAAUAGAGGUCUUCAGAUGAUUAAGAUGGCUUGGGAGCCAUAUCCUCCUCUAAUAGAAAAGUAUUUUUAUUUGCUAUAUUUUUUUGUUUUUGUUGAAUUACUCACAUUAGAUGUGAUUGUUUGCGUAUUCUCAUGUCAAACUCAAUUGAGUGGUUUUAUUUUGUCAGGAAAAUAAACGUCACGUGCUUCAUCCCGCUAACUUGAUGGUUAACUAGACGUUACGCCGCGCGCGCCUUGACUACGUCGUAGCCAUAGCAACGUGUUCUUUUUACUUCCCCGCGUAACAGACAGUUGACUACGGGUAGGUCUGAUGGAAAAGCUUCGUUCGUGUGACUGCGGUUGUAAACGAUAAGUUAAUACGUCAGGAGAGAGUCCGCUAUGAUUAGUUUAACGUUACAUGUCAGAUGAAUUAACGCUAGCUAGCUAAAACAGUUGACUGUGGUCAUGUGGACCGCAUUUCAAAAUGAAAUGUGCCUCUAUUUAAGGUGUUGCGGUAAAAUGGCUCACAGCCUUAAAGGCAUUAAUCGCCUAUUUGUAAAGUGUCAUAUCCCAAUCUUUGAACUAUCUUUAAACCAGAUCCAAAAAUAGUAACACUCUGCUUUCCCUUGACCCUAGUUCAUGUUGACCUCCUCUAUGCGCAUAUAUAUUUAUUAGUGCCUUUAAGGCUGUAAGCCCUUUUACCGUAACACCUUAAAUAGAGGCACAUUUCAUUUUGAAAUGCGUUCCACAUGACCGCAGUACCAGUUGUUGGGAUUAGCAUGAUAUAAAUCAAGUGGUGUCCGACUAACUAAUUGUGCAAAUUCCUUGUUAUAGGAAAAUAUGAUAUAUAAUCUCAGCAACGUAGUUUACAGAGAGAAACUUAAAUCAGCUUUUCCAAGGAUUUAUGUAGAGUAGCAGUCAAAUGUUUGGACACAUUUUCUCCUUCAAUUCAAUGAGAAAGUCUGUGCAAACCUUCGACUGGUACUCUGUAUGUAUUGGAAAUGGUGAUUGAAAAGGUUUUAUUCUCUCAAAGGGAUCAACAAAGUAGUUCUUCUUUAUCUUCUCAUAGUUGUUCGAUCACAAAUUCCAAACAAAACUUCACGCUGCUCACCUUAUAAAAACUAUUGUCCUGCAGCUCGAUGAAAUCUAAAUAUCUCAACCCCAUCUGCUUCCUUCAGGACGGAGGGGGGGGGGGGUGGAGACAUUCCUUCAUCUUGUUUUUUCAGUGCAACUGAACUAUGGGCCCUUGUGAGUCUAUACGUCCAUGCGUGUUUCCUCUCACGACUUAGCAUCCGUCCACGCAGAAUACAUGAGUUUACCAACAGCUUGCCUCCUUCGCAUUAGACUGAUUAAUAGUUCAAUCAGGGCUAAAAUGGACAAAACCUCACGGGGGAACGGUUGUCGUGCAAAACCACCUCUUUAUAUCAGCGUCUACCUAAACGGAUAGGCCUGCUUAAUGCUGUCACAGGGCGUUACUAAUUUAUCCGUGUUGUGCGAGCCAGCGAUUGAGGAUCCCUGCCGUGUUUUAAACGCCGAGCUUGGAGAUAGUAGGGGGGCGAUCAGGCUGUGUGCGUGCGUGAGCAUGAAGCUCUUUGACAAGGCAGGGAUUGUCUGCACUGGUGUGCGAGUGCGGAAGAGGCCGAGGGGACAGCACGUGCCUGUUUACAUGCUAGUUCUUGAAUUAUUGUGUUUGUGUGUGAAGUUAAACCUGCGUGAGCUUUGCAUGCGUUUCUUAGAUCGGGUGCGCAUCUGUCUGUUCAUGGUGCAUGUGACCAAAACCUCAUGUGUUGGUGCUGCGCAUUGUCCUGCGUGUUCUCUCACUCCAUUUGCCCGCAGAUGGCCUGUGAGGGCAUUUAAUGUCUGGCAUGCAGACGUGCACAGGGAACCAUCUGAUAGGAGAGACCUCUGGCCCCAAGUCUGCCAGAGGUAUUUAAUCUGAAGUCAAGUGUUGAGUUGGCGUGAUGCCUUCCCCCCCCCACUAAUGGUGAUAGAUAAAAGCCGGAGAGCGUGCACUCACAGAUAGACGGACAGUAGAUGGGUUAAAGCUUGCACUGGUCUCCUCGCGCGACCUCACUGGCCGCUACAUGGGAUAGCUGGACCUCCCUUGGUUUGCGACUAAGAAGCUGGGCAAAGUACAUAGUACACAAAUAUUUUUUUUCUUGUCCCGUUUGACUAAUUUUGUGAAUAAUUCCCACCCUUGAAGGUUGAACCAGUCCUUGUUAAGACCUUCUGUGGCCCUGCAGUGGAAGAGAAGCUAAUAAAUGGCGUAAAGUCAAAAUAGCCUCAGCUGUAAAAUGCCAUAAUCUACAGUCCAUAAGCCUAACGCCAUAAGCUUGACUGAUUAAUCUAUUGUAAAGAUUGUACAGUAAAUGGGUUUAUCAUGGGGGACAUCACGCAACCUCAGGGGCUAAGAGCCAUUCAUCAGUUUAAAGGUGCCUCCCACUUUUAUCCUGUAAAGAGUCAAAUUGUUUUGUGCAACGUUGGGAAGAACAAGCUGUCUUCGGGUGGUUGUGUCAGGAUUUCAUUGAUUUAAAAGUGAUUAAGAGGAAUGAUUUGAUUUCACACACAUUCUAUUGUUUCUUGAGGCUGCCAGUGUUGGUCAAUGUGUUGUGACUUGAAAAGGGGUGGAUUUCAUACAACAAUCUGGAAGUUAAUUAGAAUAAAGAGGGAAUAAUCUGACCAGAGGUUCAAGAACUAACACAGGACACAAUCUUGUUGCACAGCUGUUCUUACCUAUCAAACAAGAUUGUGUUCCCCCUUUUAAAAGCUUAUGAAAUAAAAAUAUAUUUUCUUUCUUAACUAACUUCAAUAUGAAAAAUAUAUUUUUCUAUUUUUUUUUAAAUAUCAAAUUCAACCUUCUGUAAUUCAGAAUUUGAUGUGUGUUUAUUUAAAAUAGUACUUUCAAGUAUUUCUAUGAUUUGAAUUGGAUCCUUCUUGUAAUUGACCACCUUUCAAAUUUCCCAUUUCACAUGCGUCACCGCACAGACGCUAAAGCUAAAUCCAGCAAUACCAAGUUUGGUGAUAGAUUAAUUAUUAAUUAAACAUUUUUAAACAAAAAAAUGCAUUUAGUGGCUGUAGAUCUUCAUUGUGAAUUGAUCGUUUUGUGCUGUUAAUCAAAUCAAGGGAUUUUAUCAAAGACUUUGUGAUGUUUUAUUAGUAUUUCUGACUUUGCAUUAACAUAAUUUGAUGCCAUGUAUGGAUAAAGUAAACCGAUGAAUCAAUAUUUGGUGUAGCACCAAAUGUAAAUCCAUUGCACACAUGAUAUUCUAUUUCCAGUCUAGCUAAUUCUGCUAUUUUGCUUGUGUCCAGGAGACAAGGAAAAGUCUAUGGAGCCGGACAAAGAAGGAGAGAAGGAAAUGAAAAUGGUUCUUCAGUUUCCUCCGCUCUACCCACUGCCUGAAGACAUAAAAAAAGGUAGGCAGUUCAAAAAAGUUAUAUGAACGCCACGACUUUCCUCCCAGGGGAACAAACACGUACAAAAUCACAUUCAGCAUGCUGUUACCUUUCAUGGCAGCAUGUUAAUGGAAGAAUGAUGAAAGACCAUAUUGACACAACAUAUGUUGUUUUUUUUACAACCAGGAGCACAAAUUAUUUGCCACAUCCUGAUAAUCAAACACUGCUCUCUCUCGCUCUCUCUCUCUCUCUCUUAAUAUGCUGCAGUAAUCCAUAUGAUCUGCUCAAGAAAUUGGACGUCUCCUCAUUUAAUCUUCCAUCUGUUUUAAGAUAAAGCACUUAAAAAUUAACACGCCAAUGAUGGCGUGUUGCUUUUUAUCCGUGUCACUGUCAGGUGGCAGUUACAUAUUCCCAUAUGAUAUGCCAUAUGGUAUGAAUAUAAAUUAGCAGGCAAUAUUGCUUUCUUUUAAAAGAGACGCUUUCAUGGUCUCUAUAACCACUUAAAGCAGUUUGUUAAAAGAAACUAUAUCUCCAGAAAACCACGUUUCCCAGUUAUUCUUCACUAAUUUUUCACAUAAAACCAUUUUAAAAGGGUAUUUUCAUGUGAUAUUACUUAAGAAGAAAACAACACACACUUAAGCAAAGUAAUUAGACUAACAAAAUGUUUUGGUCGUUAUUUGCAACCAGUUGUAUCUCGUUCUGAAGUUGAGAACAUUUUCUACCCUCGCCCUGAACAAAGUUGUUUAAUUUCUCAUGACUUGGGAAAAACAAGCCAACGUGGGAUCAUUCCCACUUACAAUAGUACCUUUGUAUACAUCGUCUCCUCCACAUUAGAGCUGCAGAAUAAACAAACAGAGCAGCUGGCUGCUGAUGAGAGGGACCUCUGUGAUUGCUUUACCUGUAGCUCUCCAGGAGGCGGGGCAAAGUGGACAAUCCUUUUCUGUCUUCCACAAUCUGUCCACCCUGUGUUCCUCUGCUUUGAGCUGCCGAUGGAUGAAAAGAUUUUUGACACGAGUGGUUGCAACAGAUUGUGAUGGAUCAGUCAGUCUAAAUGCUUUUAUAGACAGGCCCCAUGCAAGACACCAUGCACAAGUAAAUGCUAUUUCUAGACUCAUAGGAAUCAAGGUAAAGCUGUUUAUUUAUACAUUCAUUUAUUUAAUAUAUAGCACAUUUAGGAAUAGUUUGUGUAACGGUAAAACAUUAUUUUAUGUUGGAGAAAGUCUAAUCAUUAUGUCUUAUAAUUCAUGAAACAUGAAUCCUUUUUUUCAAUCUAUUAACUAUUACACAUGAAGAGGGGUUUAAAAGUGGGCAGGGGUGGAAAAAGGGAAUUUUAAAUCGUUCAACACACCAAUCCACAUUCUGCAACAAUUGAUCUGAUUGUUUGCUUGUGCUUUGUCUCAUUUUACCCAACCGUCAUUUUCUGUUGUUGAACUCUUGAUAAAUAAUGCCAAUAACC